rnacentral:lncRNA from 1 species
CUGGGGUCUCCUACUCCACGAUCUUGGUGAUUUCACUCUGGAACUUGGUUGUUUCCUCCUCUCAGGAAGGAUAGAGUCCUCCCAUGUGGAAUCUGACACCUGGAAGCUUUCAUAUUCUUUUCUGUGGCUGCAGAGUAUGGCUUGCUUUGCUUUCUUUGGCAUGACAGUUCUGAUUCUUCAGCCUCCCCAUGAAGAAGAGAAAAAUUCCCUUGAAGCUGAACUAAAUUCAUCAGCAAAUGAAAUUACAUUCAUUUGAUAAAAUGCUAAAUGGAAAAAGGCAGGUUUAUUUUAAGCCGUCAACAGGCUGUUUCAGUUAAUCAUGCACAGCACAGAAGACAGGAAAAUGGUUGCUAAGAAAAUGGUUGGCAUGCUUCCACGAGAUCCGUGUGAUGUGAAAUGCAUCUGCUCAUUUCAACAGGGAAAUAGAAAAAGAUAAAAUAAACAGUUCAGGGUAUAUUUGGUCGCAGUAAUUUCUCUGGUUGUUGAGAGAGUCAAUGGAACCUCAGCUGUUCUGAUCAUCUGUAAUUCCACCAUUUCCACCACCAGAUACACACCUUCACUUCUUAGACAGACACUGCUUGCUGUCAGCAUCCAGGCCCACAAAUGGGAGAGAGAACAGCUAAAGACAGCAACCUGCUUGGCAUCCCCCUGCACACCAUAAUAGUCCUCAGGGUGAAGUAACCAUGGACAUCAGUGUCCACAGCAUCUUCAAGGUGGCUGUUAUGGAUAAAGAGGACAGGCCAAAAGGACAGUAUUGAGUCACAAAGUGGAAGACUGUAUCGGUUAAGAAAGCUUUUGAUUAUACAUGAUCCAGAAUGCUGAGAAGUUCAAAGCAGAAAAAUGAGAAGCAGAGAAACAUGGUUGGUAUCUCCUAAGAACUCUCUUGAGUCCACUGUCUUUACUCAGGACAAAAUGGAAAACAGAAAAAUUCAAGGCAAAAGCAAUCAUGGAGGGCAAACAGGAGAUUCAGUAAGGCCAUCAGCUGGCUGAACAAGAACUAGCCUGCUGAUAAGGAAGAAUUUGAGUGUCAUCAGGAAUACUGAAGAAUUCCAAAAUUCUGCAAGUUGAUCGUCACAAGCUGUACCAGGGAGCUGACAACAAGCCCUCGCAGGGGCAGAGCUCCACUGCCACAGUGUGUCUUGUCAGAGAGAGAUACCCACUAUCGAAGAAGGUGACCAUGCUGACCAGAAGAAAGCAUAUUCCACAGAUCUGUCGCAGAGUUUACAUAUGUGGCCCAGUCAGUUCACUAAGUCAGUUUCAAAGGUUGAUUUUAAACUAUGAAUUAAGCUGUGGAGAUAAACAGUUCUGAAUAUGUGUAAUAGCUCAACUAAAAUAGAAGUUCAUUUCCUGCUCACUUAACAGUCCAAGGCAGGUGUUCCUGGCUGAUGGAUGGUUCUUCUCCACACGGUGACUCAGGGAAUGACCCAGGCUCAUUUUGUCUUCUCUCCACCAGGGCCUCAUCCUCAUCAGCUGCCUCCAGUCAAUAGACGAGAAGUGAGAGAGAGAGGGGCACGCCUGCUGCUUUAAAGCCUUGUCUCAGAAAUGAUGUUCAUCACCAAAACUCAGUCACACGAUCUAACUGCAGGAAGGCUGGCCUACGUCGUCCAAUUGUGUUCCCAAAGAGUAGGGACAAGGGAUUGGUGGGGAGGACAGGGAACAGCUCGCAGUCUGCAGUUGUUUCAAUUGGGUCAUAUUUCAUAUACUUCAGAGAGUUUCAUCGCACUUCAGCAGUGUUAUGAGUGAAAAGUAACAUUUAUGUCUCAACAAAUAAAGAUCCACUUUAAAUCGGUGUCAUAAAAACAAGUAGAAUUUCUGGGUCAAAUGGCAUACAAAAUUCUAAAGGUUUUCAUUAAGUAUCGUCAAGUUGACCUUGAGAAGUUGUUCAGUUUAUACUCUCAUCUCCAUGCCAUCACCUACACCACUGCUAACAUUGCAUACAGUAUUAUCAUUUCAAAGCUUUUCAUAAACAAAAUAAAGUAUUCAAACAAUAGAGAAAAGAUGAGUGAGGAAUGUAAAAAAAAGUCACCAGAGGUAAUCACCACUAGUCUUUUGUUGACCACCUUUUCAUACGACUCUCUACACAGAGAUAUUCCACAGAAAAGAUAUUACAUUUGCCUUUUGAAAAAUUGUGAACCUCCUUCUCUUGUUCUAUUUCCCUUCUUUUCUUUAUUUCCUUCCUCCCUCCUUCUCUCCCUCCCUCCCUUCCUUUUCUCUCAUCGCUCCCUUCUCUCCCUCUUUUCCCUCCCAUUUCUCAUGCUUUGCUUUUGAUGGCCAUAAUUGACUGGCUUUACUGGGUCAGUCCUGACUUGAGGAGGUACGAUCGCGUAGAAAUUGAUAGCACAUACCCUAAAGCCACACUGCCUGGAUCUGGAUUCCACCUUGUCCAUGUAUUGCUGUUAUGACCUCUGUGUCUCAGUCUCCUUAUCUGUACAAGCGGGUAAUAAUAGUACCUACCUCCUUGGUUCCUAUUAAUCCUUGUGAGGAUUAAAUGAGUUAAUAUGUGUCAUGUGUCUUGAACAGCACCUCGUGCAUAGUAAGUGCUAUAUGUGUUUGCUAUUAUUAUCAUUAAUCUAUCACAUACGUUACAGAUAUUUUUUCCUGCCUGUUAUUUGUCUUUUGACUUUAUUUAUGGUACUGUUUUCAUGCAGUAAAAUAUAUCUAGC